rnacentral:rRNA from 1 species
AUACGUAGGUGGCGAGCGUUGUCCGGAAUUAUUGGGCGUAAAGGGCGCGUAGGCGGGAUAGUCAGUCUGUUGUAAAAGUUCGGGGCUCAACCCCGUGAAGCAAUGGAAACUGCUAUUCUUGAGUGCAGGAGAGGAAAGUGGAAUUCCCAGUGUAGCGGUGAAAUGCGUAGAUAUUAGGAGGAACACCAGUGGCGAAGGCGGCUUACUGGACUGUAACUGACACUGAGGCUCGAAAGCGUGGGGAGC